UUGACAUUAUAUUGUUGCAUGGGCAGCAGCUGCCCCUCCUCUUUUCCUUCACCUCCUGCUGACACCUCCCUUUCCGUUCAGCACCGCCAUGCCGGACAGCAGCAGAGGGAAGUGGCUGACAAGCCCACCAGCUGUUCUCUGAUGAUCAGUCCCUGCUGCUGCUCAUCACUGGCUCAUCAUGCUCCCUGCAAAGCAGCUCCUGCUCAGCACCAUUCCCAGAGCCUCCUCAACCUGACUAGCGCUUGGGCAUAUUUCCGCCAGCCUAACCUGGUGCUCUACCGUACUGGGGCUAAACUACGUCCUGGUCAUCCUCGAUCACGCCACCCGUUACCCCGAGGCUGUUCUUCCCUGUGCACUGCCACUUUGGAAGCCCUCACCUGGGAACUGGGAAUGCUGGGAUCAUAUGCAGUUCUGGAGUGGGUCAACAUGGUUAAUCAUCGCCUCCGCCAGACCGGCCAGCAGAGAGAGCAGCAGAUAUACCACCACAACCAGCUGAAGACGUGGGCUGAGGGUCCAAGGCUGCCCUGUUUGCACUGAUCAUCACUGCCAACAAAGGAACAAAUGCUGAUAAGAGAUGGCAAUUGAAGAGCACAGCUACGGACAGCGCAGGGGUGAUGGGGCCCAAAAUGGCACCCCCUGUGACAACCUGUCCCCCAGCCAUCUCCUCUUCGUCAAGUCCAGGCUUUGGCUGCCUAAAGAGAGUGUUAAAAAAAAAGCAACUUUCCAUUCUGAACUGUUGUAUUCCCUGACUGGUUACGGCUAACCUUCUUGUUAAUAAUUAUGCAUUAGUGGCUGAACGUACCUUAUAUGUAUUGUGUAUGU